CUAGUACUCCUUUCGUCCGGAAAUACUCGUCAUCAAAAUGGAUAAAAAGAGAUGUAUCUAGAACUAAAAUACAUCUAGAUACAUCCCCUUUUAUUCAUUUUGAUGACAAGUAUUUCCGGACGGAGGAAGUAGCUC
rfam:Triticum aestivum genome assembly, contig: Triticum_aestivum_CS42_TGACv1_scaffold_404180_5BL